UACGAGGGGGGCAAGUGUUGUUCGGAAUCACUGGGCGUAAAGGGUGCGUAGGCGGUCGGGUAAGUCUGAUGUGAAAUCUCACAGCUUAACUGUGAAACUGCAUUGGAUACUAUCCGGCUCGAGGAAUGGAGGGGAGACUGGAAUACUUGGUGUAGCAGUGAAAUGCGUAGAUAUCAAGUGGAACACCAGUGGCGAAGGCGGCUCACUGGUCCGGUACUGACGCUGAGGUGCGAAAGCGUGGGGAGCAAACAGG
rnacentral:rRNA from 1 species